rnacentral:rRNA from 1 species
GAGUUUGAUCGAUGGCUCAGAACGAACGCUGGCGGCAUGGAUUAGGCAUGCAAGUUGAACGAACCACUUCGGUGGAGAGUAGCGGAAGGGUGAGGAACGCGUGAGUAAUCUGCCCCCUAGUUGGGAAUAACAGUUGGAAAACGACUGCUAAUACCGAAUGUGGCUUCGAUCCUGCAUGGGAUGGAGGCUAAAGAUUUAUCGCUAGGGGAUGAGCUCGCGUCCCAUUAGGUAGUUGGUGAGGUAACGGCCCACCAAGCCGACGAUGGGUAGCUGGUCUGAGAGGAUGGUCAGCCACACUGGGACUGAGACACUGCCCAGACUCCUACGGGAGGCAGCA